UAGUCGGUAAAAGAAGUACUUUUUAGUGACAACAAAAUAUAGUCCAGAAAGAGAAAAACUAGACUUUUCAAUUCAAGUUGUGUGCCCUCCAAUUCGCUUUAGCUUCCCUCCAAUUAUUUUUAAUGUGCCCUCCAAUUCUCUUUAGCUUCCCUCCAAUUAUUUUUAGUCUCUAAAUUCCCCUAAUUCAAAUCUGAAGCCUACGAUCUCUCUCUCAGUGUCUCUCUCUCUCCAUUUCUCUUCCUCUGAUCGGUGAGUGUCUCUUCAAUUCAACUUAGUUAUUCUUUGAUCUACUUCUCGGUUUUCCUAAAACUGUACUUACGAUUCAGCUAGCAUUUUAGUUGAGUUUAGUGUAAUAUCAAUCAGAUCUCGAUCUUAUAUAUGUUUAUACUUUAUACUGUUAGUGUAUAUAAUGUCUUUGCUCGUUGUUUUAAUUUCGAUUUUUGUAUUAGAUUUGGUGUUUUUACUCUACAAUCCGAAGUUGUUCUAGGCUUUGUAUUUCAACUCUCGGUAAUCUCCAUAGCUUCUAUUCACACAGAACAUUCCCUUCACUAUUCACCAGCAGUAGUCGGGCUCGGACAAUAAAGUUUUGUGGGGGUGCUUAAAUCAGAGUAGAAGGUGCAUACAUUUGGCAGUUCAGGCAACUUCGGAUAGUAGCUUACAGCUUUGAUAUUAUUUUGUACAAGCUCGCUCUAUCUUUUCGGAAGAAAUUCUCAAUCCCAAUACGUGGAGAAGAGUUUAUAAAAAAAUCAAUAGGGAAGAAAUGGAAGGACUAUAAAUGUGAUCUGAAGACUAUGUUAUGUGACCAAAUAUAAGACCAAAGAUGCCUUGAUGAAAAAUAGACCAAGCCACAUACCAAAGGAUCAAUGGACUGGUCUUAUCUCCUAUUGGCUUUCCGAUAAAGCAAAUGUGAUACAGGGAUUCACAUACCUCCAAAUAUGUGAGAACUACUGGAUAGGUUAGACUGGUAGCUUGGGGUAUGAACUCAGUCAGUAAUGCCCUCUAUGCAAUGAUGCAGAUAUGGAUUUGUGAUUUGUAGAAGCCCGCUAUACCAGAAAAUGAGGCACGAGGUCCCCAGCUUCGGAAUGGUUAACAUACCACCACUCUUGCUAGACUGGUGGAGGUAUCUUCCAUCGGAUGACCAAACCAAUGAAUGGAAAGAAUGGGCUGUCAAGACUAGCGAAAAGCUAGAUUAUCUGGAAUACAGCGUGUUAGAAUUAGAAGGAAAAGUGAGGAAAAGAGUCAACGACUGGAGCGGUGAGGGAAACGAAGAAGGACAUCUGGCGAAGGCUUUCUUACUAAUGAGCCUAUGCGAGCUGGAGGAUUUGAUUAAUGAGAACAUUCAACCUGAGGAAGGUCCUUCUGGGACCAAAUAGGCUAGAUUUAU